rnacentral:rRNA from 1 species
AGCGAACGCUGGCGGCAUGCUUAACACAUGCAAGUCGCACGGUUCGGGCUUCGGUUCGGGCAGUGGCGGACGGGUGAGUAUCGCGUAGGGAUUUGUCGUUGGGUGGGUAUAACCGUUGGGAAACUGGGGCUAAUACCGCAUGACGCCUGUGGGCCAAAGCAGAGAUGCGCCUGAUGAGGAGCCUGCGUCCGAUUAGUUAGUUGGUGGG